UAGGGAAUCUUCCACAAUGGACGCAAGUCUGAUGGAGCAACGCCGCGUGAGUGAAGAAGGUUUUCGGAUCGUAAAGCUCUGUUGUUGGUGAAGAAGGAUAGAGGCAGUAACUGGUCUUUAUUUGACGGUAAUCAACCAGAAAGUCACGGCUAACUACGUGCCAGCAGCCGCGGUAAUACGUAGGUGGCAAGCGUUGUCCGGAUUUAUUGGGCGUAAAGCGAGCGCAGGCGGAAUGAUAAGUCUGAUGUGAAAGCCCACGGAUCAACCGUGGAACUGCAUCGGAAACUGUCAUUCUUGAGUGCAGAAGAGGAGAGUGGAAUUCCAUGUGUAGCGGUGGAAUGCGUAGAUAUAUGGAAGAACACCAGUGGCGAAGGCGGCUCUCUGGUCUGCAACUGACGCUGAGGCUCGAAAGCAUGGGUAGCGAACAGG
rnacentral:rRNA from 1 species